AUUGAACGCUGGCGGCAUGCCUUACACAUGCAAGUCGAACGGCAGCGCGGGGCAACCUGGCGGCGAGUGGCGAACGGGUGAGUAAAAUAUCGGAACAUACCCUAGAGUGGGGGAUAACGUAGCGAAAGUUACGCUAAUACCGCAUACGCACUAAGGUGGAAAGUGGGGGAUCUUCGGACCUCAUGCUCAUGGAGUGGCCGAUAUCUGAUUAGCUAGUUGGUGAGGUAAAGGCUCACCAAGGCGACGAUCAGUAGCUGGUUUGAGAGAACGACCAGCCACACUGGAACUGAGACACGGUCCAGACUCCUACGGGAGGCAGCAGUGGGGAAUUUUGGACAAUGGGGGGCAACCCUGAUCCAGCAAUGCGCGUGAGUGAAGAAGGA
rnacentral:rRNA from 1 species